rnacentral:rRNA from 1 species
CAGCCGCCACGGGAAUACAGAGGUCCCAAGCGUUGUUCGGAAUCACUGGGCGUAAAGGGUGCGUAGGCGGCGCGGAAAGUCAGGGGUGAAAUCCCGGAGCUCAACUCCGGAACUGCCUUUGAUACUCCCGCGCUUGAGAACUGGAGGGGAGACCGGAAUUCACGGUGGAGCAGUGAAAUGCGUGGAUAUCGUGAGGAACACUAGUGGCGAAGGCGGGUCUCUGGACAGUAUCUGACGCUGAGGCACGAAGGCCAGGGGAGCGAACGGGAUUAGAUACCCCUGUAGUCCCUGUCCUUAUACA